UACGAAGGGUGCUAGCGUUGUUCGGAUUUACUGGGCGUAAAGCGUGCGCAGGCGGCCAUUCAAGUCAGGGGUGAAAUCCUUGGGCUUAACCCAAGAAUUGCCUUUGAAACUGUCUGGCUAGAGACUCGGAGGGGAUAGCGGAAUUGCUAAUGUAGCGGUGAAAUGCGUAGAUAUUAGCAGGAACACCGGUGGCGAAGGCGGCUAUCUGGACCGAUAUUGACGCUGAGACGCGAAAGUGUGGGGAGCAAACAGG
rnacentral:rRNA from 1 species